rnacentral:lncRNA from 1 species
GAGACAACUGCAGAUGUUCCACUCAGAGAGCAUGGACUUCUAAGAGCAUGGUAUCUCUUUUCUGCUAUGAGUGGGUCAUUUUAUACUUCCUAAAGGGAGCUAAAAUUAUAAGUUGCCCAUCUGGAGCAGAGAAAAUGAUCUUGUUCCUAAGACAUAGAUUGCCUUAAAAUUGUUUUCCCAGCCACUCCGAACUCUUCCAAAUGGGAGCUCUCAAGUGUAUUGCUUUCACUCCAGGUUUUCAAGCAGAGACUGCAUGACAAUUCAUUGGGUCUGGUAAGAAAAAGGGCAUACAUUGCACUCAGUGGGGUCAGAAGGAGGUCCUUUAUGGGAGAAAACAACUCCUGUGAUUCUUCACCCACUGAGCAUCUGCUUGCCUUUGAAACAAGCCUGGAUUUGUGAUUUCUGUAAAGCUAUAACCUGUUUCCUAAGGAUCUUCAGAACCCAAAAGGACUCCAGCUAUUUCCAGUUCCCAGAAGCUAUUCUUCUAGUGGCAUCAGGGGCCCUGCCUAGAGAGGAGUCAAGUGGGAGCCUACACAAUAACUGUCGUAGGACAUGGAGAUAUCCUGUAUUCACCCAGCAUGGACCAGCCAAGUACAUAGACUCAAGGAUCCUAUGGAGCUAGAAUGGCUUCAGAUGUUUGUCUGAUAAUUAUUAUUUGAUAAUGAUAAUUAGCAUUUAUUAAGCUGCCAGGUACUGUUCUAAGCCCUGGAGCUAAAAAGAAAAGCAAAGGAUAGGUACUGCCCUCAAAGAGCUUAUGAUCUAAUGGGGAAGACAAUACAUGAAAAGAAUCUGAAAAGUGGAGGAUGAGAUGUCAGCAAGAGGCAUGAUGUAUUCCAAAGGAAUUCAAUUUAGCCUUGAAGUGUAUGCAGUUCUUCAAGGUUUUGCUGUAGUAGAAACAGUUAUAUUU